CCAACCCCUAAGCCUUUGCCCCGCUCCACUCAGAGUUCUGUGACCCGGGCUGAACCCCGGGGGUGUCCUGCCUGGGAGAGGGGAGCAAACUCAACCCAGCCCCAGGGACCCACCUGUGACCAGCUCGCCCAGGAAUGACUGCGCCCCUUAAACACCAAGAAGGAAAUGAACUCCAUUCUAAUUAGGAAUCCCCCAGUCAUGUUUGAAGUCUGCAAGUCCAAACAGCAGACAUAGCUCGCAGCUCGAGAAGGAGACGGCCACUUGGAACCCAACCACCUUCCACCGGCCCCAUAUUUUUGGAGCAACUUAAAUCAUUACUGGAAGAUGUCUAGGUUCACAGACACCAAACCCUUCAAAGAGAAGCACAGGCACUCAGAAGUGGAGCUCGGAAAAGCACGGAAGAAGCGUUCCCAGUCCCAAGACUCAAUCUAUCACACAUUCAAGGGACCCAUUGACUGCUUCUCCCGCUCUCACCUUCCUUACCUGCCUUCUCCUUGGGGUUUGGCAGAUCUGAAUGACCUCAGUUACGCUAUAGGUGGAUCCUCUCUGCUUAGUGGAUAUCCUGUCCCAUCUGAUUUAUUUAUUAUGUUUUUUUGUUUGUUUUCUUGAGACAGAGCCUCGCUAUGUAGUUCAGGCUGGCCACGACCUCCCUACGUGUAGCCCAGGCUGGGCUCAAACUUGAGGCGAUCCUCCUGCUUCAGCCUCCUGUGCACUGCAAUUAUAGGCAUGGGUCACCAUGCCCAGCUCCUCCUGUUCUAUCCUGUGCAUCUCUGGUCAAUGCUCUCUCCUCCUCCAAGCCUUUCAACUCUCCAUCCCAGACAGAACACUCC
ensembl:lncRNA